AGUGAACGCUGGCGGUAGGCCUAACACAUGCAAGUCGAACGGCAGCACAGUAAGAGCUUGCUCUUACGGGUGGCGAGUGGCGGACGGGUGAGGAAUACAUCGUAAUCUACUUUUUCGUGGGGGAUAACGUAGGGAAACUUACGCUAAUACCGCAUACGACCUACGGGUGAAAGCAGGAGAUCUUCGGACCUUGCGCGAUUGAAUGAGCCGAUGUCGGAUUAGCUAGUUGGCGGGGUAAAGGCCCACCAAGGCGACGAUCCGUAGCUGGUCUGAGAGGAUGAUCAGCCACACUGGAACUGAGACACGGUCCAGACUCCUACGGGAGGCAGCAGUGGGGAAUAUUGGACAAUGGGCGCAAGCCUGAUCCAGCCAUACCGCGUGGGUGAAGAAGGCCUUCGGGUUGUAAAGCCCUUUUGUUGGGAAAGAAAAGCAGCAGGUUAAUACCCCGCUGUUCUGACGGUACCCAAAGAAUAAGCACCGGCUAACUUCGUG
rnacentral:rRNA from 1 species